AAGAUCAUACUUUCAGGGAUCAUUUCUAUAGUUUUUGACUUGAGAAAUAUCGUACGAAAGUGAUCGGUUACUCUAACCACGAUGAAGAGUACUGAUGUUCCCUUCUGAGCGCGAAGCGGGCAGUGAGUGAUGAUUUACUUCAUCCGCUCCUUGUCAUUGAUGACCGUUCCUUGCUCCCUAGUGGAGCCUGGAGGUAGGGAACAUGAUCAGAGUGGUU
ensembl:snoRNA small nucleolar RNA U3